GAUAAGAACGUAGCGAAAUGCGAUAAGUAGUGUGAAUUGCAGAAUUCAGUGAAUCAUCGAAUCUUUGAACGCACAUUGCGCCCCUUGGUAUUCCAUGGGGCAUGCCUGUUCGAGCGUCAUUUGUACCUUCAAGCUUUGCUUGGUGUUGGGUGUUUGUCCCGAGGGACUCGCCUUAAAGUAAUUGGCAGCCAGUGUUUGGUUUUGAAGCGCAGCACAAGUCGCGAUUCAAGGCUACACGCCCGCUUCCACAAGCCUUUUUUCACUUUUGACCUCGGAUCAGGUAGGGAUACCCGCUGAACUUAAGCAUAUCAAUAAGCGGAGGA
rnacentral:misc_RNA from 1 species